rnacentral:rRNA from 1 species
AGAGUUUGAUCCUGGCUCAGGACGAACGCUGGCGGCGUGCCUAACACAUGCAAGUCACGGGGGCCCAGUAGCAAUACUGGGCAACCGGCGAACGGGUGCGUAACACGUGAGCAAUCUGCCGAUUUCUGGGGGAUAGCCGGUCCAACGACCGGGUAAUACCGCAUACGCUCAUUGGGGGGCAUUCCCCGAUGAGGAAACCUCCGGGGGAAAUCGAGGAGCUCGCGGCCUAUCAGCUAGUUGGUGAGGUAACGGCUCACCAAGGCGACGACGGGUAGCUGGUCUGAGAGGAUGGCCAGCCACAUUGGGACUGCGACACGGCCCAGACUCCUACGGGAGGCAGCAGUGGGGAAUAUUGCGCAAUGGACGAAAGUCUGACGCAGCGACGCCGCGUGUGGGAUGAAGCUUUUCGGAGUGUAAACCACUGUUGCUCGGGACGAACAUCCCUUUUCGAGGGGACUGACGGUACCGAGUGAGGAAGCACCGGCUAACUCUGUGCCAGCAGCCGCGGUAAUAC